rnacentral:rRNA from 1 species
UACGAAGGGUGCUAGCGUUGCUCGGAAUCACUGGGCGUAAAGGGUGCGUAGGCGGGUCUUUAAGUCAGGGGUGAAAUCCUGGAGCUCAACUCCAGAACUGCCUUUGAUACUGAAGAUCUUGAGUUCGGGAGAGGUGAGUGGAACUGCGAGUGUAGAGGUGAAGUUCGUAGAUAUUCGCAAGAACACCAGUGGCGAAGGCGGCUCACUGGCCCGAUACUGACGCUGAGGCACGAAAGCGUGGGGAGCAAACAGG